rnacentral:snRNA from 1 species
CACUUCUUGACCUUUUGGUUAAGAUCAAGUGUAAAAUAUUUGUUUUU